CUCUCCCAGGUUUCAGCUCCUGUGGCUGCAGCAGGAGCUCCUGUUCCAUCUUGGGGAGUGUGGCAAGACGGGCAAGGUCCUGGGCUUGAAGGCGGCACUCCCUGAUUUCCUGCCCCAGCUCUUCAUGCUGCCCAAGGAGCUGCUCAGCCCCCACCACGUCCUCAGCCAGCUCCUCAGAGGAUGCCAGCUCCUGCCUCUCCCGUGCCCAUGCUCUCACCUGCAAAGGUGUGAGGCCCGGCAGGGUCACUCGAGAUGGUAUCAUGAGCUCUCAAAGUUCAUGAAGAGCUCAG